ACUUAAGCAUAUCAAUAAGCGGAGGAAAAGAAACCAACAGGGAUUCCYUUAGUAACGGCGAGCGAAAAGGGACAAGCCCAGUAUGUAAAUCUCCAGCUUUGAGCUGGCGAAUUGUAGUCUGGAGUAGCGUUUCUUGGAGGCCGGGCUGCCCAAGCAUCUUGGAAUAGAUCGCCGCAGAGGGUGAGAGCCCCGUAGGCAGGGCCGGGCUCCUUCACAGAGCGCUGACGCAGAGUCGGGUUGUUUGGGAAUGCAGCCCCAAUUUGGUGGUAAACCCCAUCUAAGGCUAAAUACAUGUGGGAGACCGAUAGCAAAAAAGUACCUCGAGGGAACGAUGAAAAGACCGCUGGCAAGCGAGUGAAAGAGUGCAUGAAAUUGUGUAGUGGGAAGGGAUGGCCUGGCGUGUUGCCCCCUGGUAUACACUGCUCUCGGAGCUCUUGAAUACACUGGGGGCUGGCUGGUGCCGACACCCGCGCUCGCAAACCCCCAAGCUAAGGUGUUUGGUUGUUCGGGCGUGGGUGUUGAGGUUGAUCGGUGCUCUGUUUAAAACUGCAUCGACAUAGCACCAGCUGGAGCUUGUCCAUCUACCCGUCUUGAAACACGGACC
rnacentral:rRNA from 1 species